rnacentral:rRNA from 1 species
CAUGUCUAAGUAUAAGNNACUAUACGGUGAAACUGCGAAUGGCUCAUUAAAUCAGUUAUCGUUUAUUUGAUAGUACCUUACUACAUGGAUAACCGUGGUAAUUCUAGAGCUAAUACAUGCUAAAAACCUCGACUUCGGAAGGGGUGUAUUUAUUAGAUAAAAAACCAAUGCCCUUCGGGGCUCCUUGGUGAAUCAUAAUAACUUAACGAAUCGCAUGGCCUUGCGCCGGCGAUGGUUCAUUCAAAUUUCUGCCCUAUCAACUUUCGAUGGUAGGAUAGUGGCCUACCAUGGUAUCAACGGGUAACGGGGAAUUAGGGUUCGACUCCGGAGAGGGAGCCUGAGAAACGGCUACCACAUCCAAGGAAGGCAGCAGGCGCGCAAAUUACCCAAUCCCGACACGGGGAGGUAGUGACAAUAAAUACUGAUACAGGGCUCUUUUGGGUCUUGUAAUUGGAAUGAGUACAAUUUAAAUCCCUUAACGAGGAACAAUUGGAGGGCAAGUCUGGUGCCAGCAGCCGCGGUAAUUCCAGCUCCAAUAGCGUAUAUUAAAGUUGUUGCAGUUAAAAAGCUCGUAGUUGAACCUUGGGCCUGGCUGGCCGGUCCGCCUCACCGCGUGUACUGGUCCGGCCGGGCCUUUCCUUCUGGGGAACCUCAUGCCCUUCACUGGGCGUGUUGGGGAACCAGGACUUUUACUUUGAAAAAAUUAGAGUGUUCAAAGCAGGCCUUUGCUCGAAUACAUUAGCAUGGAAUAAUAGAAUAGGACGUGUGGUUCUAUUUUGUUGGUUUCUAGGACCGCCGUAAUGAUUAAUAGGGAUAGUCGGGGGCAUCAGUAUUCAAUCGUCAGAGGUGAAAUUCUUGGAUUGAUUGAAGACUAACUACUGCGAAAGCAUUUGCCAAGGAUGUUUUCAUUAAUCAGUGAACGAAAGUUAGGGGAUCGAAGACGAUCAGAUACCGUCGUAGUCUUAACCAUAAACUAUGCCGACUAGGGAUCGGACGGUGUUAGUAUUUUGACCCGUUCGGCACCUUACGAGAAAUCAAANUUUUUNGGUNNUNGGGGGGAGUNUNGNCG